UAAGGGCGCACGGUGGAUGCCUUGGCACUAGAAGCCGAUGAAGGACGUUACUAACGACGAUAUGCUUUGGGGAGCUGUAAGUAAGCUUUGAUCCAGAGAUUUCCGAAUGGGGAAACCCAGCAUGAGUUAUGUCAUGUUAUCGAUAUGUGAAUACAUAGCAUAUCAGAAGGCACACCCGGAGAACUGAAACAUCUUAGUACCCGGAGGAAGAGAAAGAAAAUUCGAUUCCCUUAGUAGCGGCGAGCGAAACGGGAAGAGCCCAAACCAACAAGC
rnacentral:rRNA from 1 species